rnacentral:sRNA from 1 species
CAGGAAGUUCUUGAUGUCGCGGAUCGCCAAAACAACGAUACGCGCCGCACGGCGACCAGCCGUUCACAAGAAACGAUCAACGUUAAUCUGCGCGCAUAAGCAGAUAGCGGCAAGUUAUUUUGUUUUUGGAAGUGAUGUACGGAGCAUAAGAGUAAUGAAAUUACCGAUCUAUCUGGA